CCUUCGAUAGCUCAGUUGGUAGAGCGGUGGACUGUAGAAGAUCGCUAUUGUGAUAAAGAGUAGUAAUCCAUAGGUCGCUGGUUCAAAUCCGGCUCGAAGGA
rfam:Anopheles stephensi strain SDA-500 unplaced genomic scaffold supercont1.191, whole genome shotgun sequence.